AACUCUGAUCUCCUUGUGGCUGCUUAUCUAAAAAACAACACAGCUGCUCUUUGCUCUGACGAGCAGAGCAGUGGAGGCAGGAGAAUUGCUUUGGCAUGUUCCAGCUGUGCCUUGAGGAGAUGAGCGAUGA